GGGGGUGUUUGGUUUUGACAGCAGAGAUCUUUGAAGGUGUAAGCAUGCCGGGCGUUGGGUAAUUAGCCCGUUAAUCUGAAUACUCAAAACACAAAUGGCAAUACUCAGUAUGCCAUGGCUGCCUAAUCAGUGAUUAGUUAGUCAUUCGGGCCGCCGCGGGGGUUUGUCCUUCACCAAUCGCCGCCGCCGACUUAAAAAGAAGAGGGAUUGCUACUACCACAGGCUGUGCCGGUAGUUUAAGAUCAUCCAGCUAAGGAACGUAUUGGUUUGUCCUGGUCCGGUACGUUCCCGACAAUCAAUCCGAGGAAUAAGCAUGUAGAAAGCUUUUGGAUAUCCUGUUUGGACACCAGUUCGAUUCUGGUCACCUCCACGA
rnacentral:tmRNA from 1 species